AUGGGAAGAACAUAUGUUUAUGUUCAUCAUGUGGAUAAAGAGGCCUUUUUGAAAGGCAAUGUUGAGCCAGACCCGGAUGAGCUUGACAUGGUGUUUGAGAGUAGUCCUAGCUAUGCGGAUGUCUUGAAACAAGUGAUGAAUGAUUUGAAUUGGAUGGACCCAAGUGACUUUGUUGAGUUCGAGGGAAGGCAUAAUGUUGGUUUUGGAAUGCACAUCCAUUGGAAGACAAUGCGUGUGAACUCCGAGCAAUGUUGGGUUGCAUACAAGGAGACGGUUGCGGAAUAUCUAGACAAGGCUCUUGAGUUAUUUGCCUCCAAGAAAGUUGAGUCUAGCUUGCAUUUGUACUUGAACCGGAACCCCUCCCCAUUGGUUGCUAGUACUCCCCCACCCAUGAACCAAGAUCAAAUGAGUGAACCUCAUUUGACGCAACAAAUUUGGCCAACAUUGAGCCCGAUUUCAAACAACCGAAAUGAAGCUGUUGAAGAGGACAAUUAUGAGUACGAGGAGGAUGACAACGAAGUUGAUCUCCAUGACAACAAUGUGGGUGAUCUCGAGCAAUAUCAUGUGCAAGGGACAAUGGACUAUUCCAUCCCUUUUUCCUGUGCAUAUGCAUCGGACACCGAUGACGAUGGUCCCGAUGAAGAAGUUUAUGAGGAGGGGUUCACGCCCAAGGAGGCCCAAGCAUUUAAGAAGGUAUUAGGGUGGGAUCACAAGACACCAUUGUUUAAGGAUCUUAGUCUCGCGGAUGAAGCCGUUGUAGAUUGUGGCAAAUGUAUAUCUCUUGUAGCUAGGCCAAGUUUUCACCAUGAUUUGGAAGACGACAAGAAUGGGAUAUAUCCCGGUUGUGAGUUUGAAUACUUCUUGGAAUUGAAGAUGUGGCUCGACAACUACUCGGUUACGCAUUAUCUUCCACAUAGAGUGGCCAACUCAGACGUCAAUGUGCGUUACACUGUUAAAUGUGAAGUGCCAAGAUGUACAUGGAUUGUGCGUGCAAGGCCAUGGAAAGGAGGUCCCACUUGGCGCAUAGUGAGUUGUGUACCAAGUCACAUGUGCCGACACAAGAAUGCGGAUGGCGAGCUUGUGUAUCAACAACACAGACAACUCACUUCCGAGUUCAUCGCUUACAGGUUUCCCAACCAAAUGUCCACACUUCCAACAAUGAGCAUCAAGAGUAUCAUUGACCUUGUGAAAGCCAUCUUACAUUACAAGGUGAAGUACGACAAGGCAUGGAAGGCGAAGCAAGCCGCAUUCAAGAUGUUGUAUGUCAAUUGGGAGGAAGCAUACACCGACUCCCUAGGCUGUUGUUAG
rnacentral:rRNA from 1 species